CCAUGCAAUGAUGAUCAUGUUGACUCUCACUGAAAAUGGAUCCAAUACACGCCCUCUAUGGCAGAUGCCCUAAAACCAAACCCAUGCAGGGGAAGUCUGUGUAUGUCAUCCUUCCACUCAUCCAAGGAGCUGGACUGGAUCCCAGACGAGCUGUACAGGAGGGGAUGUACGAGCUUUGAGGAAUGAAACAUUCUCUCCUUACCCUGUACUGUAAUGUCCAAGAGAUCCACUAAAAAGAAACAAGUGAAUUAAGUGUUUGUGAAUAGCUGGAUUGAAGGCUCUGCAGGCAGAAGUCCUCCAAUUAUUCACAGAGCAAGUCCAGCCCAGCAACCGCUGUGCAAGUUUCCCUGCAUCACCCUGCCAACAUGCUUUGAGCCUGACCUGGAGGGGCCACCUGGGAGGGAGUUCUCCAUUCAUUCAAAUCCUUGGCAGCUUUGUGGAGACUGCCAGGUAAGAUGCCAACUGUGGUCGUGGUUUCUGUGAUGUGAAUUGUAUAACUGAUGUAGCUGGUGAUGGAUGUAGCUGCAUAGCACAUGAUAUUGUGUGAGCUAGGUGAGACUGACACAAAUCAUAAUCUGAAAACAUUUCCAGCAGCUCUGUGUAUAUGGGCAAGAGUUUGAGUUUUUCAUUACUGAAACCUUAGGUUCCUGUUUACCAAACAUUUGUUCACUCUUUAUACAUAAGGGGAAUGGGGAAAUGAACCACAAAGGUGAGUGCCAAAACUCUGCUUUACGUAUGUAAAUCACGCCCAUGCAACUUUCUCUGCCAACUUCAAAGUUGAAAAACCAAUCCGACUACCACAAGUUCAUUGUUUCUCCUGAGAUUUCCGCUGCUUCUUGGUUCAAGGCAGAAACAGCAUGAGAACAGCCAUUUAUUCAAAGGGUGGGGAGGGAGGUGUUACAUUGGUCCCAUGAAAGUCUUUAUAAAUGCCAAGACAAGCAGUUAAGCUCACUCUGUUUUCUCCUUGUUAUUUCAGUGUUUCCAUUGCCAAUAAUAUAUCAUAUGUAACACAAACACAUAUUCCCUUCCUUACCAGAGAAAAGAUAGAAAAGACCUAUUAAAUCACUGAGUCUGUCUCUCUGGCAGUGCUGGAAUUUUUCUCAUUUUCUAAAUUUUGCUCACUAUAGUGUUGUGUCCCAAGCAAUGGGGUUUCCACCCCUACCUGUGGAGAGAC
rnacentral:lncRNA from 1 species